rnacentral:misc_RNA from 1 species
AACGGUCUAUACCUGCGGUACCUGCGGAAGGAUCAUUACAUGGCGGAGAAGGUGGGCAACCUGGCCAACAUCCAGGUUGUGAUGCCUUCACGCUCUUCCACCCUUGCCUAUUUGCACCUUCUGUCGUUCCCUCGGCGGGUUUCGACCCGCCGGCGGCAACAUUGAAAAACCCUUUUUGCAGUUAGCAUUCAAUUCUUCUGAUCAAAUAUUAAAUCAUUACAACUUUCAACAAUGGAUCUC